rnacentral:rRNA from 1 species
GACAACUUUUGACGGUGGAUCUCUUGGCUCACGUAUCGAUGAAGAACGCAGCCGCUGCGAUAUGUAGUGUGAAUUGCAGAAUUCAGUGAAUCAUUGAAUCUUUGAACGCAAAUGGCGCUCUUGGGUUCUCCCAGGAGCAUGUCUGUCUGAGUGUCGGAUUUUAUCGAA